GGUUUUUUCUUCUUCUUCCACUUCUAGCGCGCGCGCUCUCUCUAGAAAGAAACGGGAUUAAUCACGGAGCUUUGCUUUUCCGAUCGAAAUAACGCGGUGGUUUCGAUUGUCUUAGCUUCAUUGUAGCUAGUUUUGGGGAAAUAUCCUGGUGAGGUGGCAAAGGGUCUUUAGCGAUGGCUACUGAGAUAGUGAAUAAUGAUGUUCUUGCGGGAGACAAUGAGGAGUUGGAGACUUCGAAUGGCAUUGAGAAAUUAGAGAUAUCAAAUGGCAAAGAUGACUCAUCUGCUAACUCUUCGUCUAUUCAAAAAGAUGAAGAUGGAGGCGCAGAAGUUGCAAAGAAGAAAAAGAAGAAAAAUAAAAGCAAGAAAAAGAGGAGCCACUGAAGCAGACUGACCCUCCAUCUAUUCCUGUUGUUGAUCUUUUCCCAUCUAGGGAGUUUCCUGAGGGUGAAAUUCAACAGUACAAA